rnacentral:rRNA from 1 species
UAUAUUGACUGGCUAAGGUAGCGAAAUAAUUUGCCUCUUUAUUAGAGACCAGAAUGAAGGAUCUGACGCAAGAUCAACUGUCUCACUUAAUUAACAAUAACUUAAUACUGAAGUAAAAAAGCUUCAAUAAAUUAAAAAGACGACAAGACCCUAUAAAACUUUACUUAAAUUGUAAUUAUUAAUUAGAACUCCGUGCAACUUUAAGUUUUACUGGGGCGGUAUUAAAUUAAACAUUUAACAGUAUAACGCUAUGUGUGAAAUUUAACGAACAAUAUAUUAUUAAUCAAGAACAAGUUACUUUAGGGAUAACAGCACAAUUUUUUCACAGAGUUCUUAUCGACGAAAAAGCUUGUGACCUCGAUGUUGAAUUAAGUGACUAGUCUCGCGCAACACCGAGACUUUGAA